rnacentral:rRNA from 1 species
GAUGAACGCUGGCGGCGUGCCUAAUACAUGCAAGUCGAGCGAACAGACGAGGAGCUUGCUCCUCUGACGUUAGCGGCGGACGGGUGAGUAACACGUGGAUAACCUACCUAUAAGACUGGGAUAACUUCGGGAAACCGGAGCUAAUACCGGAUAAUAUAUUGAACCGCAUGGUUCAAUAGUGAAAGACGGUUUUGCUGUCACUUAUAGAUGGAUCCGCGCCGCAUUAGCUAGUUGUUAAGGUAACGGCCUACCAAGGCAACGAUGCGUAGCCGACCUGAGGGGGUGAUCGGCCACACUGGAACUGAGACACGGUCCAGACUCCUACGGGAGGCAGCAGUAGGGAAUCUUCCGCAAAGGGCGAAAGCCUGACGGAGCAACGCCGCGUGAGUGAUGAAGGUCUUCGGAUCGUAAAACUCUGUUAUUAGGGAAGAACAAAUGUGUAAGUAACUAUGCACGUCUUGACGGUACCUAAUCAGAAAGCCACGGCUAACUACGUG